rnacentral:rRNA from 1 species
AUGACCAGAGACAACCUUAGAACAAGACAGAUUAUUAAACCGUUGGACUGUGUUUACUGCUCUGAGGCAGAAACAAGUACCCACCUGUUUUUUGACUGUAUAGUAGCCAAGAAGAUCUGGCCGCUGGUCACUAAUCAUUUUGGGGUGGAUAUUGGGACUGACUUCGAAUCAGUUGGUAAACUCUGGGUAGCAAAUGGAAAAUAUUCCGCCCUUAACACUGUUAGUGCAGCGGUGCUUUGGUGUCUUUGGAAAUAUAGGAACUCUAUCAUUUUCAAUAACACCUUGUGGAUCUCGAUUAAACAGGUGCUGAGACUGGUCCUAAGGACUAUCAAAAACUGGACAGUGCUGUCCUCCGACAAGAAUGCAGAGAGACUGGAGGUCUUCUCAGAUCAUCUUGCGAACUUCCUUCGCCGCCCCUGUUGA